UGGGGAAUAUUGCACAAUGGGCGCAAGCCUGAUGCAGCCAUGCCGCGUGUGUGAAGAAGGCCUUCGGGUUGUAAAGCACUUUCAGCGGGGAGGAAGGCGAUAAGGUUAAUAACCUCAUCGAUUGACGUUACCCGCAGAAGAAGCACCGGCUAACUCCGUGCCAGCAGCCGCGGUAAUACGGAGGGUGCAAGCGUUAAUCGGAAUUACUGGGCGUAAAGCGCACGCAGGCGGUCUGUCAAGUCGGAUGUGAAAUCCCCGGGCUCAACCUGGGAUCUGCAUCUGAUACUGGCAAGCUUGAGUCUCGUAGAGGGGGGUAGAAUUCCAGGUGUAGCGGUGAAAUGCGUAGAGAUCUGGAGGAAUACCGGUGGCGAAGGCGGCCCCCUGGACGAAGACUGACGCUCAGGUGCGAAAGCGUGGGGAGCAAACAGG
rnacentral:rRNA from 1 species